rnacentral:rRNA from 1 species
GAGUUUGAUCCUGGCUCAGGACGAACGCUGGCGGCGUGCCUAACACAUGCAAGUCGAACGAAGCGAUUUAACGGAAGUUUUCGGAUGGAAGUUGAAUUGACUGAGUGGCGGACGGGUGAGUAACGCGUGGGUAACCUGCCUCAUACAGGGGGAUAACAGUUAGAAAUGGCUGCUAAUACCGCAUAAGCGCACAGCAUCGCAUGAUGCCGUGUGAAAAACUCCGGUGGUAUGAGAUGGACCCCGCGUCUGAUUAGGUAGUUGGCGGGUAACGGCCCACCAAGCCGACGAUCAGUAGCCGACCUGAGAGGUGACCGGCACAUUGGGACUGAGACACGGCCCAAACUCCUACGGGAGCAGCAGU